rnacentral:misc_RNA from 1 species
GAUGAAGAACGUAGCGAAAUGCGAUAACUAAUGUGAAUUGCAGAAUUCAGUGAAUCAUCGAGUCUUUGAACGCACAUUGCGCCCCCUGGUAUUCCGGGGGGCAUGCCUGUCCGAGCGUCACUGCUGCCCUCAAGCCCGGCUUGUGUGUUGGGUCGCCGUCCCCCUCUCCGGGGGGACGGGCCCGAAAGGCAGCGGCGGCACCGCGUCCGAUCCUCGAGCGUAUGGGGCUUUGUCACAUGCUCUGUAGGAUUGGCCGGCGCCUGCCGACGUUUUCCAACCAUUCUUUCCAGGUUGACCUCGGAUCAGGUAGGGAUACCCGCUGAACUUAAGCAUAUCAAUAAGCGGAGGA